rnacentral:rRNA from 1 species
GAUUAUGGGUUAAAGGGUGCGUAGGCGGAUAUAAGUCAGUGUGAAAGUUGCAGCUUAACUGUAAAAUUGCCGUGAAACUGUUAUUCUGAGAGUAGAUAAGGUAGGCGGAAUGUGUUGUGUAGCGGUGAAAUGCAUAGAUAUAACACAGAACCCCGAUUGCGAAGGCAGCUUACCGGGCUACAUCUGACGCUGAUGCACGAAAGCGUGGGGAUCAAACAGGAUUAGAUACCCUGGUAGUCCACGCAGUAAACGAUGAAUACUAGCUGUAUGCGAUAUAGUGUAUGUGGCAAAGCGAAAGCAUUAAGUAUUCCACCUGGGGAGUACGUUCGCAAGAAUGAAACUCAAAGGAAUUGACGGGGGCCCGCACAAGCGGAGGAACAUGUGGUUUAAUUCGAUGAUACGCGAGGAACCUUACCCGGGCUUGAAAUGCAAUCGACGGUAGUGGAAACAUUACUUCCAGCAAUGGCGAUUGUGUAGGUGCUGCAUGGUUGUCGUCAGCUCGUGCCGUGAGGUGUCGGCUUAAGUGCCAUAACGAGCGCAACCCUUAUCAUUAGUUGCCAUCGGGUCAUGCCGGGAACUCUAAUGAGACUGCCACCGUAAGGUGUGAGGAAGGUGGGGAUGACGUCAAAUCAGCACGGCCCUUACGUCCGGGGCGACACACGUGUUACAAUGGGGGGUACAGCGGGCAGCUACCACGCGAGUGGAUGCUAAUCUCUGAAAGCCUCUCUCAGUUCGGAUCGGAGUCUGCAACUCGACUCCGUGAAGCUGGAUUCGCUAGUAAUCGCGCAUCAGCCAUGGCGCGGUGAAUACGUUCCCGGGCCUUGUACACACCGCCCGU